UACGUAGGGUGCGAGCGUUGUCCGGAAUUAUUGGGCGUAAAGAGCUCGUAGGCGGUCUGUCGCGUCGAUCGUGAAAACUUGGGGCUUAACCCUGAGCUUGCGGUCGAUACGGGCAUGACUGGAGUUCGGCAGGGGAGACUGGAAUUCCUGGUGUAGCGGUGAAAUGCGCAGAUAUCAGGAGGAACACCGGUGGCGAAGGCGGGUCUCUGGGCCGAUACUGACGCUGAUGCGCGAAAGCCAGGGGAGCAAACGGG
rnacentral:rRNA from 1 species